rnacentral:lncRNA from 1 species
AGCAAGAUGGCGAUCGAGGGGCGUACACCUAAUAAGUCGAUCUUAUGAAGUGGGAUGGGAAUAGUAGUUUUCUAGCCUUCCUAUGUUCCUUUAAGAAUGCCAGAACCGGGAGGAUAAAGAGACUACCGUAAAGAUGGCAGGAUACCUAACCUUUCCUGGCUGCUUCAUUCUACCACUUGGAGCUCCUCGCCCGCCUGAACUAUCAAAAUCCCGCACUCGAUGAUGCAAAGCCAGACGGGAAUUGUAGUCUUCCUCGCUCCCCUCUUUAUCUUCUGUCGAGACAAUGGAAGUGAGCGGGGCGGGGACUACCACAAAGAUGGAGGGUGAAGGAGCACAUGAUGCUAUGGGAUUUGUAGUCCAACCGCUAAUACUAUUCUCGGCGGAUGUGUAGGAGAGGACUACUACAGAGAUGGCAACCUAGUCGCUUGCCCCUCGGUGCCGGUACCUGGUGGGUUAUGUAGUCUCUGCUUUAGUUGUACAGAGAAAGGACGCUACUGUUGAAAUAUGUAUCACCGUGAACACGCCAAAUUGCUAGCGGACGGAAACGGAAAGUCUCUUUGCUCUUGGCCUCCUUUUCUAAAGGGCUUGCAGGGAAAUGUAGUCCCAAGUUUUCAUUCUCCAGUGGCGGAGAAUUGAUGUCACCUGUGGGAAUCAGUGCGGGAGAGAGAAACAUCGGAGUGACCUGGGAAUAUAGAAUGUCCGCCUUUUCGGAUCGUGAAGAUUUCAUAUUUUAAAAGAACGCAAACCAUAACCAAUAUUGUCGCGACAAGGGAGGCGUGGUUCUCUCCGAAAAGUAUACCCACGCUGUUGUUCCUUAUAAAGACUGGACGUCUCGCACACGAUGCUUCCUAUCUUAAACCUUUGCAAAUUAAUACCUUACACGUGGUGCGAACCAAAGGAAGACGACCUUGGAAUAUACAAAAUCUCCUUUCCACCGUAGGAAGUCAUCAGACCUAAGUUUCUUACCCGAAAGGGGUUAUGAUUAAUACUCACCUCCACGCUGAAUUAGCGUUAAAAGUAUUCAAGAAAGUAACCAGUUCUGGCACGGGGCGUGUGGCUGCAGUUAUUUUUUCGAGCUCCCUUUCAGCCCAGCCGUUUUGGAAGCCCAGGAAUCCAUCAUGCCGGACAGUUAGCUUCUGCGAAAAGAAAAUUGACGAGUAGGCUACCCCCAUCUUAACCCCCACCCCUCCCUCUUCAGUCCUCAUCUGAGUCUUCCAACCAUCUCUACCCAGCACUCUUCCCAGGGGGCGCCCUCUCUCCUUUUAACAGAGGACGCACACACUGACCAAAUUUUCUCAACCUGAAUUGUAGCCUUUGGAGCUGUGAAGCCUCAUGCCUUGUCUUUUGAGCCUUGGAGGCUUCCGGUGAACUCUCAGUUGCCAAAGGGACUGCUUUGUGCCAUGUGGAUGACCUCCUGCGUCCUAGAAAAUUUGCUCAGUACUACCCCAAGCCAAUCUCUGCUUCCUUGUCUCUGCUGGGUUUCCAGCCCUACUGGAGACUUGGUGGGUGUGGUUUUUCUGCUUAGGAAGUUAACUCCGGUCAAAACUGUGUCAAGUCUCAGUUUGCUAGGACUACUAGCCUUAACCUAAGUAGGGGCUCCUUGCAGCCCCGUAACAGUCGUGGCUCCCAGGGAAGUGUCUGUCCAUUUUAAAUCCACACGGCGGCGUUUCUUUCAACUAGCAAGGACUGCUUUCUGGCCUUCUAGCGCUCUCCUUGCGUGGACCAAAGUUGUACUUUUUCAUCCAUCCCACGUCUCCACCCAGUUGUUUACCCAUCAAGUUCCUAUUAAAAUUCCACUGCCACAAUAAAACCUUCUAGUAAUUCCCAGAUGAGCUUUGUUUAGUGUCCUUUCCACUAACUUGGAAGCUUGCUGGAUGCACCUCACAGGUGUUGUUUGGUUUUGCCCUGCUGGGAAUCAAACCAGAUAUCAUUGAUGGGAGGCAAAGCACUCUGCAAGGAGUUUACAUCUCAGUCCCACCUGGAAUACCAAAUGCGUUCAGCCUCUCAUUUGAUCCUAAGAAGCCUGUAAUAGCCAGGUGGCACACCUUUAUGGCCAGCACUUGUGAGGCAGAGGCAGGAAGAUUUCUGAGUUUGAGUAGUCCUGCCUGGUCUACAGAGUGAAUUCCAGGACAUUGAGGGAUAUACAGAGAAACCCUAUCUCGGGAAAAAACAAAAACAAAACAAAACCAAAAAACAUCCCACCACCACCACCACCACCAACAACAACAACAAAAGAAGAUGGGCUUGAGAGAGUGAACACACAAAGAAAGAUUUUUAGUUUGUAUUCUACCUCAGGCAGUGACUGUGUCUUUUUCCCAUUGGUUGGGGCCUGGCCUCACAAUCUUAUUCAGCUGGCUAGUCUGAAAAGAAUUGGUGCACCGGAAAUGGAGGAGGGCAAAGCAGUCACUGUCCCAGGCCAUCAAAUCCCUAGAAUAGAGUAGUGGGCCUCUGUGCAGACAAAGGUUUGACAGGGUGGGAAGGAAUGAAACAUUUGCAUAAAAGUCUGACAAAAAGGAAGAAAUGUAAAAGAUUUUAAGUCCUUCUCCAGGACACACAUUUUUAUCGUGUGUGAUACAGAAAGGAAAACUCACAGUUGAUAUUUUUUUACACUCAGCUAUACACAACAGAUAAAUGAUAGAGCCAGAAUUUAAACUCAAGUCCAGAGCCCAGGUUGAGAACUUCUGUAACAUUUAUAGACUAAUCAAAAUCCAGUUAUGUGCAUUUAACAUGAGCACAGCAAAAUUAGCAUAUAAAGUUAGACUUCUAAUGUAUCUUCAAAAAUUCUAAAGUCAGGCUGGAGAGAUGGCUCAGACGUUAGGAGCACUGGCUGCUCUUUUGGAAGUCCUGAAUUUAUUCCCAGCAACCUCAUGAUGGCUGACAACCAUCUAUACUGGAAUCUGAUGCCCUCUUCUGGUAGAUGUGCACGCAGAUAGAGCACUCAUAUACAUUAAAUAAAUGUGUUUUUUUUUUAAAGUUC